rnacentral:rRNA from 1 species
CCUACGGGUGGCAGCAGUGAGGAAUAUUGGUCAAUGGGAGAGAUCCUGAACCAGCCAAGCCGCGUGAGGGAAGACGGCCCUAUGGGUUGUAAACCUCUUUUGUCGGAGAACAAAACCCGGGACGUGUCCCGGACUGCGUGUAUCCGAAGAAAAAGCAUCGGCUAACUCCGGGCCAGUAGCCGCGGUAAUACGGAGGAUGCGAGCGUUAUCCGGAUUUCGUGGGUGAAAGGGGUGCGUAGGCGGUACGUUAAGUCAGCGGUAAAAUGGCGGGGCUCAACCCUGUCGAGCCGUUGAAACUGGGAAACUGGAGUUGGCGAGAGGUACGCGGAAUGCGCGGUGUAGCGGUGAAAUGCAUAGAUAUCGCGCAGAACUCUGAUUGCGAAGGCAGCGUACCGGCGCCAGACUGACGCUGAGGCACGAAAGCGUGGGGAUCGAACAGGAUUAGAUACCCCUGUAGUC